rnacentral:rRNA from 1 species
GACGAACGCUGGCGGCGUGCUUAACACAUGCAAGUCGAACGGAAAGGCCCUGCUUGCAGGGUACUCGAGUGGUGAACGGGUGAGUAACACGUGAGUUAUCUGCCCUGCACUUCGGGAUAAGCCUGGGAAACUGGGUCUAAUACCGGAUAGGAGCCAUUUUUAGUGUGAUGGUUGGAAAGUUUUUUCGGUGUAGGAUGAGCUCGCGGCCUAUCAGCUUGUUGGUGGGGUAGUGGCCUACCAAGGCGGCGACGGGUAGCCGGCCUGAGAGGGUGGACAGCCACAUUGGGACUGAGAUACGGCCCAGACUCCUACGGGAGGCAGCAGUGGGGAAUAUUGCACAAUGGGCGCAAGCCUGAUGCAGCGACGCCGCGUGGGGGAGGACGGCCUUCGGGUUGUAAACUCCUUUCGCUAGGGACGAAGCUUUUUGUGACGGUACCUAGAUAAGAAGCACCGGCUAACUACGUG